UACGGAAGGCAGCAGUGGGGAAUAUUGCACAAUGGGCGCAAGCCUGAUGCAGCCAUGCCGCGUGUAUGAAGAAGGCCUUCGGGUUGUAAAGUACUUUCAGUCGUGAGGAAGGUGUUAAGGUUAAUAACCUUAGCAAUUGACGUUAGCGACAGAAGAAGCACCGGCUAACUCCGUGCCAGCAGCCGCGGUAAUACGGAGGGUGCGAGCGUUAAUCGGAAUUACUGGGCGUAAAGGGCACGCAGGCGGUUAAUUAAGUUGGAUGUGAAUCCCCGGGCUUAACCUGGGAAUGGCAUUCAAGACUGGUUAGCUAGAGUCUUGUAGAGGGGGUAGAAUUCCAUGUGUAGCGGUGAAAUGCGUAGAGAUGUGGAGGAAUACCGGGUGGCGAAGGCGGCCCCUGGGACAAAGGACUGACGCUCAUGUGCGAAAGCGUGGGGAGCGAAACAGGGAUUAGAUACC
rnacentral:rRNA from 1 species